CUUCAAAAGUGGUUGAAAUUAAGGUAAGAGUAGUUGUUGUAAAAAUAAAUUUAUUUAUUACUUAUGUGCCAUAUAUAUCUCUUUGCGGUAAAUAUCUGAUGUGCCGAGACUUGAAUGUGCCAUCGUGCGCCGACCCCCUAAGAAUUCACCUUUCUCCAUCCUACGGUCACACAUCUGUCACACAAUUUACCUCUUGUUUGAACAACGUCGGGUAACGAUCUCGAGGCAAUCCGGCAUAUUUAGCGCAUCUAUUAUUCGACACACCUGAUGUGUGUCGUAUCUCUUUAUAUUAAUGCAUGAUCGAUCAUAAAGAGUUUGUUUUUUAUAAAUAGUGUUUCAUGUAUAGUUAACAUUUAUUUUGUUUUUUGUUUGUAGGGAAAUAAGAUAAGAAAACGCUUAAAAAAAAAUUGACCUCCAUUACUUGUAACGACGCCAGAUGCAAGUUAAUGAUGCAGACCUGCAUCCUCUUUGCAAAAAAAUAUUGAAAAAUAAUCCGAAUAAUGAUGAAAUCGAAAAGAAGAAAAAAAAUCGACUCAAACAUUGAAACAAUGUAUCAGAAUAAUUCGACUCAAACAUUGAAUUCAGAUGCUCUGGUGAAUCUCAAUGGGUCGUAUGAUCGAACCAUGCACGACUGAUGGUUCCUGGUGACAUUAAAACGGAGGAUAAAAGUAAUGAUGUUGGGAAGAUUAUAUCUAUUGGUUCUAGCUAGCACGACUAGAGAGAAAAAGGAAACCGAGAUAUUCGAAAAAAUGAUAUAUCAUCUAUGGCAUCAUCUAGAUCAAUCUCUGCACAGGUCUAUUUAAACAUUGCAUUUGUUCUAUUUUUUGCUUUUGUACAUUUGAUUUUUUUUGUAUUUACCAGGGAUCAUUUGGGCUUAAUAGAAUAUCUGGUUUUUAAGAGUAACCCAACUUUCAACACUUUUGGGCAUAGUUCUAUACAAAAUCAAGAAUAUGGAAACAACCAUCAAGGAAUAUAUAUCUAGCUUCUGUUGGAAUUGGGUCAAAUAGCAUUCCUCCUAAUGGAAAUAAAUUACUAUUCUUACCCUAACCCUAAACAUUCAUUAUAAAUUCUUGGUACUAUUAUAGCUAGAAAUCCACACUUGAUGUAUAAUCCCCUAGGGUUUCUUAUUCUACCCAUAAACUUCUACCCACAACUUGCAGUAUCACAAGAUCAUAACUAUAAUGAUUUUUAUGUAGGGGUAGUUAAAAUUUUAAUAGAUUAACCAAGUUAAAUAAGCUACCCAUAAAUCGGAUAACCCUAAUCCUAAAUUCGAGAGAUGACGAAGUGUAUAUGUGAACAAAUUGAAUUUUACUUUCUGAUAUGUCAUUUUUUAUUUAUGAUACAUUAUUUUUUUAAGCAUGUUCUUUGGUUUUCACAUAUUUUAUCUAUGUGUUUUUAUAGAGAUUUCAACUACCGAGAUGAUAAAUUUUUACACGGUCAUAUGGAUAAAGAAGGAUGGGUGCCGAUAACCGGAACUACGUUCAAAAUAUUUAUCUAACAAGUUAUAUUUUCUCAAUAUUUCUAAACAACAACUUAUAUAUGCUCCAAAUUUGAUUUACAGUUAAAAAUAAAAAAUGUCAUCGAUUUUUUAUUAUGUAUUUGUUGUAAAAGUAUUAUGUAUUUGUUGUAAAAGUAUGUAUCUUAAAUUUACAAGUAAAAGUAUUUGUUGUAAAAUUAAAUUUGUGAUAUGUUGUAAAAGUAUACAUUAUGUGAUUUGUUGUAAAAGUAACUCUUUAUAUUGAUAAUGAAAAUAUUUAUGAACUAAACAUAUAUAUAACCCUAACCCUAAAUCCUACUAAGUGUGGGUUAGAGUGUAUUAGUAUUUUUUUCUGACCUA
rnacentral:lncRNA from 1 species